GCCACUCGGAACAUGGUCUCUAUUCCCGUCCGCCUCGCAACACCGUCAGUCGCACAGCCUAACCAAGCAGCGCCACCUCGGCGAGUCACCGCCAAUUUCAGGAGAGCUCCUCCAGAAUCCCUGAUGGAAACUUAGAAGAUGAGGGUUAGUGGGACAAACUACAGCCCCAACUACUGUUCCUGUCACAAGUAGCGAUGACCCAAAGAGAAGGUGGCCAGCUGCAAGCCUGGAAGAGAAUCCUCACAAGAACCGGAUAAUGCUGACAUCCUGAUC